rnacentral:rRNA from 1 species
UACGGGGGGGGCAAGCGUUGUUCGGAAUUACUGGGCGUAAAGGGCUCGUAGGCGGCCAACUAAGUCGGAUGUGAAAUCCCCAGGCUUAACCUGGGAACUGCAUCCGAUACUGGAUGGCUUGAAUCCGGGAGAGGGAUGCAGAAUUCCAGGUGUAGCGGUGAAAUGCGUAGAUAUGCGGAGGAACACCGAUGGCGAAGGCAAUCCCCUGGACCUGUACUGACGCUCAUGCACGAAAGCGUGGGGAGCAAACAGG